AUGUUGAGGUUGUUCCUCCUGUCCUGUACAGUAAUGUUGAGGUUGUUCCUCCUGUCCUGUUCAGUAAUGUUGAGGUUGUUCCUCCUGUCCUGUUCAGUAAUGUUGAGGUUGUUCCUCCUGUCCUGUACAGUAAUGUUGAGGUUGUUCCUCCUGUCCUGUUCAGUAAUGUUGAGGUUGUUCCUCCUGUCCUGUUCAGUAAUGUUGUUGAGGUUGUUCCUCCUGUCCUGUUCAGUAAUGUUGAGGGUGUUCCACCUAUCCUGUUCAGUAAUGUUGAGGUUGUCCCACCUGUCCUGUUCAGUAAUGUUGAGGUUGUUCCUCCUGUCCUGUUCAGUAAUGUUGAGGUUGUUCCUCCUGUCCUGUUCAGUAAUGUUGUUGAGGUUGUUCCUCCUGUCCUGUUCAGUAAUGUUGAGGUUGUUCCACCUGUCCUGUUCAGUAAUGUUGUUGAGGUUGUUCCACCUGUCCUGUUCAGUAAUGUUGUUGAGGUUGUUCCUCCUGUCCUGUUCAGUAAUGUUGUUGAGGUUGUUCCUCCUGUCCUGUUCAGUAAUGUUGUUGAGGUUGUUCCUCCUGUCCUGUUCAGUAAUGUUGUUGAGGUUGUUCCUCCUGUCCUGUUCAGUAAUGUUGAGGUUGUUCCUCCUGUCCUGUUCAGUAAUGUUGAGGUUGUUCCUCCUGUCCUGUUCAGUAAUGUUGUUGAGGUUGUUCCUCCUGUCCUGUUCAGUAAUGUUGAGGUUGUUCCACCUGUCCUGUUCAGUAAUGUUGUUGAGGUUGUUCCACCUGUCCUGUUCAGUAAUGUUGUUGAGGUUGUUCCUCCUGUCCUGUUCAGUAAUGUUGUUGAGGUUGUUCCUCCUGUCCUGUUCAGUAAUGUUGUUGAGGUUGUUCCUCCUGUCCUGUUCAGUAAUGUUGAGGUUGUUCCUCCUGUCCUGUUCAGUAAUGUUGAGGUUGUUCCUCCUGUCCUGUUCAGUAAUGUUGUUGAGGUUGUUCCUCCUGUCCUGUUCAGUAAUGUUGAGGUUGUUCCACCUGUCCUGUUCAGUAAUGUUGAGGUUGUUCCUCCUGUCCUGUUCAGUAAUGUUGAGGUUGUUCCUCCUGUCCUGUUCAGUAAUGUUGAGGUUGUUCCUCCUGUCCUGUUCAGUAAUGUUGAGGUUGUUCCUCAUUCUCUUCUUUCCUUAUUUUUUUGUUCUUAUUUGGAAUGUUUUUCCAGCUUUGUGUCCCCGUCGUCUUACCUCAGGUGACGUCGCUUUAAAGUCCGACGUAGGACGCCGGUGUGUCCCUCCCAGAGGCGUGUGUGUCCCUCCCAGAGGCGUGUGUGUCCCCCUCCCAGAGGCGUGUGUGUCCCUCCCAGAGGCGUGUGUGUCCCUCCCAGAGGCGUGUAUGUCCCUCCCAGAGGCGUGUGUGUCCCCCUCCCAGAGGCGUGUGUGUCCCCCUCCCAGAGGCGUGUGUGUCCCCCUCCCAGAGGCGUGUGUGUCCCCCUCCCAGAGGCGUGUGUCCCCCUCCCAGAGGCGUGUGUCCCCCUCCCAGAGGCGUGUGUCCCCCUCCCAGAGGCGUGUGUCCCCCUCCCAGAGGCGUGUGUGUCCCUCCCAGAGGCGUGUGUGUCCCUCCCAGAGGCGUGUGUGUCCCUCCCAGAGGCGUGUGUGUUGUAUACAGUGGUAG
rnacentral:lncRNA from 1 species